rnacentral:rRNA from 1 species
GGCACUUUAAUCCAUAUCCACCUUGUGUGCAAUGUCAUCUCACUGGGGUUACGUUUGUAAAAUUUCGUGAUCCGUUUGGGAUUUAUAUCUACUCAGAACUUUAGUCAUUUUGUCUGAAACAUAUUAUGAAUAACUUAAUUCAAAAUACAACUUUCAACAACGGAUCUCUUGGCUCUCGCAUCGAUGAAGAACGCAGCGAAAUGCGAUACGUAAUGUGAAUUGCAGAAUUCAGUGAAUCAUCGAAUCUUUGAACGCAUAUUGCGCUCUCUGGUAUUCCGGAGAGCAUGCUUGUUUGAGUAUCAGUAAACACCUCAACUCCCUUUCUUCUUGAAAUGGAGCUGGACUUGAGUGAUCCCAACGCUUUAUUCAUAAAGUGGCGGGUUACUUGAAAUGCAGGUGCAGCUGGACUUUUCUCUGAGCUAUAAGCAUAUCUAUUUAGUCUGCCUCAAAAACAGAUUAUUACCUUUGCUGCAGCUAACAUAAAGGAGAUUAGUUCUUGUGCUGACUGAUGCAGGAUUCACAAAGACCGCUUCGGCUGUCUUUGUAAACUCGAUCUCAAAUCAAGUAAGACUACCCGCUGAACUUAAGCAUAUCAAUAAGCGGAGGAAAAGAAACUAACAAGGAUUCCCCUAGUAACGGCGAGUGAAGCGGGAUGAGCUCAAAUUUAAAAUCUGGCUGGUUUACUGGUCCGAAUUGUAGUUUAAAGAAGUGUUUUCGGUGGCAGCCUGGGUAUAAAUCCUUUGGAACAGGGUAUCAUAGAGGGUGAGAAUCCCGUCUUUGACUCAGUGCAUGCUACUAUGUGAUACAUUUUCAAAGAGUCGAGUUGUUUGGGAAUGCAGCUCA